UACGUAGGGUGCGAGCGUUGUCCGGAAUUAUUGGGCGUAAAGAGCUUGUAGGCGGUUUGUCGCGUCUGCUGUGAAAUUUCGGGGCUCAACCCCGAACUUGCAGUGGGUACGGGCAGACUAGAGUGUGGUAGGGGGAGACUGGAAUUCCUGGUGUAGCGGUGAAAUGCGCAGAUAUCAGGAGGAACACCGGUGGCGAAGGCGGGUCUCUGGGCAACUACUGACGCUGAGGAGCGAAAGCGUGGGGAGCGAACAGG
rnacentral:rRNA from 1 species